CCCUCCCUUGGAGGUCCACUUGUGAACGCCUGGCCUUGUCCCAUCUCCGUCUGCCUGCAUGAGUUUACAGCAGUUGGGGAAGGAGUCCCGCUCCAGAGCACAGAGGUCGGUUUUUGACCAUGAGGACUUGAUGUGAGACUUCCGAUUUGAAGACAAAGCAAGAGCUGAAUGUUGCCAAUGGUGGGAAUGAGCCAGCAAGUGGAUUCUAACCCAGAGCAUCUGGGAAGGGACACAGGCAGCCCUGCCCACACUUGAUUUAAGCCUUGUGAGACCUUAAGCACAGAACCAAGAGCCACACUGGGCCCACACCUCUGUCCCUUGAAAAAUGUGAGAUAAGAAACGAGUGUUGCUGUAAGCCUUA